rnacentral:rRNA from 1 species
GGCUUGUUGAGUAUAAUUUCAGGUCUUACCUGCCCACUGAUAAAUUAAAUGGCCGCGGUAUAUUGACCGUGCAAAGGUAGCAUAAUCAUUAGUUUUUUAAUUGGAAGCUUGUAUGAAGGGUUUGAUGAGAAAAUUUCUGUCUCUUGAUAAAUUUAUUGGAAUUUUAUUUUUAAGUUAAAAAGCUUAGAUUUUUAUUGAAGACGAGAAGACCCUAUAGAGUUUUACAUACAGUUUGUUUGUAGGAUUAUGAGGGAUUAUUAUAUUAGUAUAGAAUUUAUGUGUAUGUUUUGUUGGGGUGAUUAGAAAAUUUAAUAAACUUUUCUUUUUGUGCAAUAUUAAUUUAUAGGUAGAUGAUCCUAGGUUUUAGAUUAUAAGAUAAAAUUACYUUAGGGAUAACAGCGUUAUUUUUUUAAGAGUUCUUAUCGAAAAAAAAGAUUGCGACCUCGAUGUUGGAUUAAAAUUUAUUGCUGGUGAAGAGGCUAGUAGAUUAGGUCUGUUCGAACCUUUAAAUUUAA